AACGAACGCUGGCGGCAUGCCUAACACAUGCAAGUCGAACGAGACCUUCGGGUCUAGUGGCGCACGGGUGCGUAACGCGUGGGAACCUGCCCUUAGGUUCGGAAUAACUCCCCGAAAGGGGUGCUAAUACCGGAUAAUGUCUUCGGACCAAAGAUUUAUCGCCUUUGGAUGGGCCCGCGUUGGAUUAGCUAGUUGGUAGGGUAAAAGCCUACCAAGGCGAGGAUCCAUAGCUGGUCAGAGAGGAUGAUCAGCCACACUGGGACUGAGACACGGCCCAGACUCCUACGGGAGGCAGCAGUGGGGGAUAUUGGAAAGUGGGCGGAAGCAUGAUCCAGCAAUGCCGCGUGAGUGAUGAAGGCCUUAGAGUUGUAAAGCUCUAUUACCCGGGAUGAUAAUGACAGUACCGGGAGAAUAAGCUCCGGCUAACUCCGUG
rnacentral:rRNA from 1 species